rnacentral:misc_RNA from 1 species
GCUUCCAUCCCGUAGACCAGUGAGUAUGGAGUUGCCCCGGUCGAGGUUCUUACGGAAGUCCGGUAUGCGUGAAGAGCAUAGGGAAGCAUAUCAUGCCAAUCCCUAUAUGUGACCGUCAUUUUCCGGAUUAUCCUCUUUAGAUUUUUGUUCGCGGCUUCCACCGCUCCAUUCAUCUGGGGACGGUAUGGGGAGGAAUUGAGGUGUCGGAUU